GCCGGAUUAGCUCAGUGGUAGAGCAACGGUUUUGUAAACCGUCGGUCGUCGGUUCGAAUCCGACAUCCGGCU
rnacentral:tRNA from 1 species